rnacentral:rRNA from 1 species
AUUGAACGCUGGCGGCAUGCUUUACACAUGCAAGUCGAACGGUAACAGGGUGCUUGCACCGCUGACGAGUGGCGAACGGGUGAGUAAUGCGUCGGAACGUGCCGAGUAGUGGGGGAUAACGCAUCGAAAGGUGUGCUAAUACCGCAUACGUACUGAGGUAGAAAGUGGGGGACCUUCGGCCUCACGCUAUUCGAGCGGCCGACGUCUGAUUAGCUAGUUGGUGAGGUAAAGGCUCACCAAGGCGACGAUCAGUAGCGGGUCUGAGAGGAUGAUCCGCCACACUGGGACUGAGACACGGCCCAGACUCCUACGGGAGGCAGCAGUGGGGAAUUUUGGACAAUGGGCGCAAGCCUGAUCCAGCCAUGCCGCGUGUCUGAAGAAGGCCUUCGGGUUGUAAAGGACUUUUGUCCGGGAGCAAAUGCCUGGUGUUAAUAGCACUGGGAGCUGAGAGUACCGGAAGAAUAAGCACCGGCUAACUACGUGCCAGCAGCCGCGGUAACAC